CCUACGGGAGGCAGCAGGGAAUCUUCCACAAUGGGCGAAAGCCUGAUGGAGCAACGCCGCGUGGGUGAAGAAGGUCUUCGGAUCGUAAAACCCUGUUGUUAGAGAAGAAAGUGCGUGAGAGUAGCUGUUCACGUUUCGACGGUAUCUAACCAGAAAGCCACGGCUAACUACGUGCCAGCAGCCGCGGUAAUACGUAGGUGGCAAGCGUUAUCCGGAUUUAUUGGGCGUAAAGGGAACGCAGGCGGUCUUUUAAGUCUGAUGUGUAAGCCUUAGGCUUAACCGGAGGAGUGCAUUGGAAACUGGGG
rnacentral:rRNA from 1 species